GCCAAUAUAGUUUAAGAUGAUGUAAGAAAUGACAAGCAUGGUAAAAAGGAGGAAAAAUGGCAGUAAAAAUAUAGUGGCAUAUAUGUAAAUACGAGGAGAAAGAGGGAGAGAGACAUUAAGAGAAAUAAUGGUAAAGCACGUGAAGGGGGAGAUGGAGAGAGCAGGCAAAUUGGGCAGACGAGCACGUGACUUGGUUAACUAUUCUUCCCUUCGAAAUUAUUACUGCUUCACUCAAUUCUUACCUAUAGUUUUAUUUUGUCUUUUC
rnacentral:lncRNA from 1 species